rnacentral:snoRNA from 1 species
GUUGAGGACUACCCCAAUGGGGCUUUGUCUGUAGACCUAUAUGGUUGGAAACGCCUCAUAGAGUGUAUGUGUGGGUUCCUUUAUUCACAGAACUGUGUGUUAGAUCUGUGGGAAAGAACUACAACAUAUCU